rnacentral:tRNA from 1 species
GGUUCCGUAGUGUAGUGGUUAUCACGUUCGCUUCACACGCGAAAGCGUCUCCCGGUUCGAUCCCGGACGGAACCA